rnacentral:misc_RNA from 1 species
ACCUCAAUGCAAAUGGUGCUGUAAUCUGUUAUACUGUUGUUUCCUCAUAGCUUCUACAAUUUGUUUGGCUGCCCAGUAAACGGGUAAACUUGCAAUCUAAGGUUUUUUUAUUUUUUGUGGUUAAGAUGGUAUUUUAAGGGCAGUUGAAUGUGUUUUGUUUAGGAGUCUUUCAAACAUAAGUACUAAACUGAUGUAUGCAAUAUGCAUUCGAGUUUGUAGUGCAUGUUUGAUUGUUUUGAGAACUAGUUUGUGCAUUGGAAAUUGAACUUUCAUUGGAAAGAUUUAUUGCAUUCCCUGUUUUAA